UGGACAUCAGACAAAGUGUAGCUGAUCAGGACAUGGCCCUCAUCUCAUUCUACAAGCGAGCCAAUGUUGAAUGGGCACGUCCUUUGGAGUGCAGGCUUGAGGGGGAUACAGCUAUCGGACAAGGAGUAAUACGUUUUUUCUUAUCAACAUGCAUGGAGAAGCUGAUGUCUGGUUUUUGCAUCAAUUUUGCAAACUCUAAUGUUACUCCACUUUUUGAGGGAGAGCCAGGCCAUUACAU